GUAGUGACGAAAAUAACGAUGCAGAACUCAAUCCGAGGCUCUGCAAUCGGAAUGAGUACACUCUAAAUCAUUUAACGAGUAUCCAUUGGAGGACAAGUCUGGUGCCAGCACCCGCGGUAAUUCCAGCUCCAAUAGCGUAUAUUAAAGUUGUUGCGGUUAAAAAGCUCGUAGUUGGGAUCUGUGUUCCACGCUGUCGGUUCACCGUUUUGUCGGUGUUUAACUGACAUGUCGUGGUACGUCCUGCCGGUUGGUGGCGUGCCUUCUCCUUAACGGUUGGGGUGCGUCUGCCAGUUCCAAUCCUGUCGCGGUGCUCUUCACCGAGUGUCGAGGCGGGCCGGCACUUUUACCUUGAACAAAUUUGAGUGCUUAAUGCAGGCUUUAAUUGCCGGAAAACUGUGUGCAUGGAAUAAUAAAAUAAGACCACGGCUCUAUUUUGUUGGUUUUCAGAGUCCGAGGUAAUGAUUAAUAGGGACAGGCGGGGGCAUUAGUAUUGCGACGUUAGAGGUGAAAUUCUUGGAUCGUCGCAAGACUAACNUAAGCGAAAGCAUUUGCCAAGGAUGCUUCCUUUAAUCAAGAACGAAAGUUAGAGGUUCGAAGGCGAUCAGAUACCGCCCUAGUUCUAACCAUAAACGAUGCCAGCCAGCGAUCCGUCGACGUUCUUUUAUGACUCGACGGGCAGCUUCCGGGAAACUAAAGCAUUUGGGUUCCGGGGGAAGUAUGGUUGCAAAGCUGAAACUUAAAGGAAUUGACGGAAAGGCACCACCAGGAGUGGAGCCUGCGGCUUAAUUUGACUCAACACGGGAAAUCUCACCAGGCCAGAACACCAGGUGGAUUGACAGAUUGAGAGCUCUUUCUUGAUUUGGUGGGUGGUGGUGCAUGGCCU
rnacentral:rRNA from 1 species